CAAAGAGCCGAAGAGGUGUAGAAGGGUUUCGGGAUGGGUUUGCGGAGAUUCAAAGGAGUUUCUUUUUAUAAAAAAAGAUACUAAUUUGAUUCAACGUUGAAAUUGAAAAGGCUCUGGGCUCAAAGAUCAGGACAAGGAAUUCAACUCUGCUUCCCGAAUUUUCUCCCAAUAAUCUGAGCUCAUUCCCCAUACAGGCAGUCCUCGACUUACAACAGUUCGCUUAGCAAUGGCCCCGAAUGACGGGACCUGUGACCCCUUUCUCACCCUUACGACUUUACUCAUGUGAUUUGGAUGCUUGGACAGCCGACUCACAUUUAUGACCCAGGGGUCACGCAACCCCCCCCCCCUUUUACAACUUUUCGACCAACAAAGUCAACAGGAAUUCACUUAACGACUGGGUGACUUUCUUAACCACCGCUGGGAUUCCCGGUGAGAAAAAAUUCGGGAAAGGGGAUGAAAUUCACUGAACCCGUUUCUCACUUAGCAACAUGUGGGUGGGGCUCAACUGGGGUCAUAAGUUGAGCACUAGCUGUAUGGCGGAGUCUCCUCUUCCGGAUAUAAGCAUGAAGACAAAAAAGAAUCCGCAUCUCAAAUCAAGAUUAUGCUUUUUACAAUCAAACAGUACUCAAUGGACUGAUUUCGCAAAUAAAGAGUUGAAAUUCUGAAUUUU